rnacentral:rRNA from 1 species
GAUGAACGCUGGCGGCGUGCCUAAUACAUGCAAGUCGAGCGAACAGAUGAGAAGCUUGCUUCUCUGAUGUUAGCGGCGGACGGGUGAGUAACACGUGGGUAACCUACCUAUAAGACUGGGAUAACUCCGGGAAACCGGGGCUAAUACCGGAUAAUAUUUUGAACCGUAUGGUUCAAAAGUGAAAGACGGUUUCGGCUGUCACUUAUAGAUGGACCCGCGCCGUAUUAGCUAGUUGGUAAGGUAACGGCUUACCAAGGCGACGAUACGUAGCCGACCUGAGAGGGUGAUCGGCCACACUGGAACUGAGACACGGUCCAGACUCCUACGGGAGGCAGCAGUAGGGAAUCUUCCGCAAUGGGCGAAAGCCUGACGGAGCAACGCCGCGUGAGUGAUGAAGGCCUUCGGAUCGUAAAACUCUGUUGUUAGGGAAGAACAAAUUUGUUAGUAACUGAACAAGUCUUGACGGUACCUAACCAGAAAGCCACGGCUAACUACGUGCCAGCCGCCGCGGUAA